rfam:Felis catus isolate Cinnamon breed Abyssinian chromosome D3, whole genome shotgun sequence.
GCCUGGGUGGUUCAGUUGGUUGAGUGUCUGACUUCUGCUCAGGUCAUGAUCUCACAAUUCAUGGGUUCGAGCCCCACAUCAGGCU